rnacentral:rRNA from 1 species
GUAUUUAUUAGCUAGAGGUGGAAUUCUCUAAUUUGAUAAAGACUAACUUAUGCGAAAGCAUUUGCCAAGGAUGUUUUCAUUAAUCAAGAACGAAAGU